GCAGACGGCGGAGAGCUGGGAUGGAGCGCGCCUUGGCCCGCUGGCCUUGGCUGCAGCUCCUCGGGAGAGCCGGGGCGCCCACGCGAGAACCUCCCUACCUGAGGACGCUGGGAACACGGAUUCCUGGAUCCCACCAGCCUACGAAGAAAGCCACGGGCGGCGACCCCUGGGACCAGGACGACCAAGGAGGAGGACGACCAGAACUGACCAGCCAGCCCCCUUGGCUAAAGGCUUAGACCUGUGCCCUAGUGAGGGGGCAUUGGUCGCCAACCCCUGACCUUUGCUAUGCUUCUGCCUUGUUGCUCUGAUACUUGCCUCUAUGUCUCUGCCUGUGUUAACCUGCCAGCGCCCUGGAGGGUUGCCAUCCCCAGGGAGGUGUCAGUCUUUCUCGCUCCACUUGUUGUCGCCCGAAUGACGUCCUGAACGGAAGGGUCCCUUUGGGAACGUCUCGGGAGGCCGACCUGGGCCAAGGGCACAACCAGCAUCUCACUGGCAAUUCCAAGGCCCUGGGUGGGCUUCUGGAAUGAGCAUGAGCCCCGACGUCAUGCCACGGAACUGCCAGGGGCACCCCCCCUCCUUUGAGCUCUCCCUGUCCCUCCUGGGGGGACAGGGACGAGAAGAGCAGUCUCCCAGGGGGUUGUGAGUAUUGAAUGAGAUGAAGUCGCCUCGGGCAGGGCCAGGCAUAGAGGAGGCAGUCGGCAAAUGUUUGUUGAUAAAGUUUGGCCGAUCAGUCAGUCCAGCCCCGGCCCGCUCCCGUGUCUCACCGUCUCAUUUAUUCUCCCACAGCACUCCGGAUGGCCCCUGGCCACGGGGCUCUGCCCGCACCAGGCUUCUCGAAAGGUCUGUCUUCACUCGCUGGCUUCCUUGCUCACCUCCAAUGUCCUCUCCAACCCACUGCUUCUUGACCUCUGCGCCGUCGAGCGGCUCUCGCGAAGGGUCGGCCUGUCCUCGACGCACUGGCAGCGAGCGUCGGCUGAAGAACCGGAUGGAAGAGGCGGGAGAGUCACCACGGACCGGCGUUCCUUCAGGUCGGUCGCCUGGCGUCUUCGGGCUGCGACUCCUUCCUGGAUCGGGCUGAAGCCAUCAUCUGUGUCCUCCGUCGGAAGGGACCUCAGACAUGUGGCUCCUGCACCCUCCAGCUCUGAAAUCGGCAGGCUAGGAUGCAAGUGGCCUUGCUGGGGGGCCCUUCCAAGGGCCGAGGGACCAGCCUCUCGAACGGGCUCGGCGCUCCAGUGACCUUCGCGUCCCCCUCCUCCUUGAAUUGUCUGGAAAACAGAAUGGACAGAUUUUCUGUCUUCAAAGUUUCCGGCUAAACCUCUUCAAAGUUCUUUAUUGUUUGGGACUGAGACACUCAGCAGUGCUAAUGGGUAGUUCCUUUUGUAUUUGCCCUGAAAGGCCAAAAUAUUUUUAUAUCGCUCCAGACAAAGCCGUCUAUUUUAAGAUGAACUCUGUCCGUCGUUGGCCACCGGGGAGACGGUGUCCGCCGUGUGUGUGUCUGUGUGCUCUCGGGUCUUGAAACGGGUUUCUCCUGGGGAUGGCCAUUCACAGGGGUCCAGGGGGAAGCGCCUGCCCCCCCGAAGGGGGCCUGGGGAAGCGGGGACUGGGGCAUCCCGCCCUAAUUGCAGAUCUGCCACCCCCACCCACCCCCACCCCCUCUGUGUAGGAUAUGAGCCCCUGGGGCGGUGGGGGCGGGUUCUGGCUGCACUAACAUUUCCUGUGCCUGCGCCUGCACCUGCCAUGCGUAUGUGUUGGGGACCGUGGGUUGUGUGCACCUGGGCGGUUAAUUCAGUGGGAGGAGCUGGGAGGUCAGAGAUACUGUGAAGGUUCUAUUCUGGUUGGGAGGUCACGGCUGGGAGGUGUGACCUGGUCCAAACAAGCGAAUGGAUGCAUCCGUGGAUGAAAGCAUGCAGGAAUGAGCAAACAGAGAAACAGGGAGAGAAGGAAUCAAGCCCGGGUGAGAGUGUGCCCUGAGUGAGAGCCCACCGAUGCCCAGGACGUCAGUGGUUGUGUCAGGAAGUCGGGACUCGGGAUAGACAUAGGGCCACGUCGGAAGCAAGGUCAGGUCAUCGUGGGCGGAGAGACCCGUGAACUUUGGGUAUCGGGCACCUGAAGUUUGUCAUUAAAGGAUAAAACCUAGAUGGAAGAAAGAAUGAGUUAGAGGUGGACACGCGUAAACCAGGGGUGACAAUGAGAUGAUGAGGCCCAGCGGGGAGACGGUGCAGGAGAGGGAAGGAGUGACUGAAAGGGGGAGGCACGGAGAGAGCCCCCAAAAUGAGUAUUUUUAAAAUUAGGGGGCGAGGACGUCUCUAUGGAGGACAGGGUCACGUGAUUAUGAGCCAAGCAUUAGGAUGACUCCAAAUGCAUACUCCCGGCACAAAAAAGGGAAGAACCUGCAGACGGAGAGUUCUGGAAAAAGAUGAGCUGGAAAAGGACCCAGGGAACCAACGAUGAGGGUUAACUUUAGCCUAAAGUUUUCCGACUCUGGGCCCGUGUAGAUAAGUAAAUGCCCAAACGAAAGAAAGCAGAGGGACCACCAAAGGGAUGAGUGAGCAGCGGACAUCCCUGGGCCCAGAUGGGAGCAUUGGCAGGAGGGGCUUCGAGUCAUCUGCUCCCGGGCACUGAGGUUCCACGAAAGGAUUAAAAAGAGAGAGAAUGGAGUUCCCGUCGUGGCGCAGUGGUUAACGAAUCCGACUAGGAACCAUGAGGUUGCAGGUUCGGUCCCUGCCCUUGCUCAGUGGGUUAAGGAUCCGGUGUUGCCGUGAGCUGUGGUGUAGGUUGCAGAUGCGGCUCGGAUCCCGUGUUGCUGUGGCUCUGGCAUAGGGUGGUGGCUAUAGCUCUGAUUUGACCCCUAGCCUGGGAACCUCCAUAUACCGCGGGAGUGGCCCAAAGAAAUGGCAAAAAGACAAAAAAAAAAAAAAAAAAAAAAAAAAAGAGAGAGAGAGAGAGAGAGAAAAAUAAGAUGUCUAACUCCAAAUCAUGACAUUGGGAGGAAAAAGGAACAGGUGUUAAGUAGAGGAAUGCAUUCGUGGGUGAGUACAUACACAUAUAAAAAAAGGCAGGGCUCUGGGAGUAGGGGUCAGAGGCUGUCAUGAAUCCAGGAU
rnacentral:lncRNA from 1 species